AGAAGACAGGUGACCUGCCUGAGUGUCAUCCUCAUCUGUCCAUCCGGAGGCAUCCUAACCUAGACAGAGCACAGGCAUCCCUGGGACCCAUUCCAGGACCUCUGUGGAUACCAACAUCCUGAAUGCUCAGCUCCCUUACAUAAAACGGCGGUCCCCAUCUGCUUCCUCCCGCCUGCUCAUUUGCCCUCAGUGACCACCUCGGAGAGACACCGCAGACAGGGGCUGUGUGUGGACGGCAGUGUGGACGGGGUGGGGCCGCCCUGUCCGAGCUGCGUCCUGCUCCGGAAGAGGGAAAACCCUCACAGGCUUCUCCGCUGCUGUUUCUGGGGCCAUCACAGCAACCCCAACACUAGCGCAAGCGAGCCCUUCACAGGCAGGGAAGGCAUCUGAGCUGCACAGGGGCAUGGCAAGGUCACAGUGCUGGACAGCAGGGACGGCGUCCCCGGGCCCUCCCGCCUGGCUGGUGGGAGAAAGCCCCAGGGCGCGCUGCCAGGCUGCGUUCCCAGCCUGCCCCCCGCCGCGCCCCCCGCCCUGACACAGCCAGUGGGCCGCGCGAAGAGCGGGGAAUUCCCUGGCCGGCUGGGCGCACGGCACAGGGCCACUGUGCUGCGGGGCCCUGAGCGAGGAGCGGCUGGUGGAGGGUGGAGACCAGGGGCCAAGCCUUUUCAUCUAACGCGCUGCGAGGCCCAUUCAGCCACAGGUCUGCUGUGUGACGCUGAGCCGGUCACAUCCCUGCUCUGGGCCUUGCAGGACUCCGUUUCCUCCAGCGAGCACAUCCCCUUCUCAGAGCCCCGGGGAGAGGGUGAGAAAGAGUGGAGGGCCCCCUGCUCUCUGCCCCUGGCCUCAGACACAGGUGGGAGUGGGGUCCCCAGGCAAGGGCCUGCUGUGCAGAGCCAGCCAGGUGAGGCCCAGAAGCUGAGCACAGCUGGCUGGAGCGGCAGCUGUGCGUCUGGGCAAGCCCUCCCACCGCAGCGCCCUCCGGCCCGCGCUGCCCCGGGCGCAGGCCCCUGACACCUGGCCUGGCCCCGUUCCCAGCAUCCCGGCCAGCCCCACCUCCCAGAGCUCUGCCCUGCCUUGCCCACACUGCCUGAGCCUCGGCCUCUCUGCCCGCCUUCCCGCCUGGGUACUGGGCUGGCAGGAUGGGGCAAGAGGCCUCUGUCGCCCGCGCCCCGCCUGCAGGUCCUCGUGUGACCCUGGCACCAGAAGCGUCUGGCUGUGCGAGCCGCAGCAGCGCCUGUGGGAGCGGGGGCCCAGGCCCCAGGCUCUGGAGUCUGUCCUUCCGGCCCCUGCGGUCCCUCUAGACCUCCACCCGGUCUCUUGCCACCUAUGGCCCCAGCCUCUUCCCUCCUGACCAGCCAUAAGAUUAAAAAAAAAAAAAGCAAAGAAACUUUUUGCAUAAAAUCUUCUGCUCACCCAGUAAGGCCAACAAAGUGAGGCUCAGACUUUCACAG